GUGCCAGCCGCCGCGGUAAUACGGAAGAUCCGAGCGUUAUCCGGAUUUAUUGGGUUUAAAGGGAGCGUAGGCGNGCCUUUAAGUCAGUGGUCAAAGCGUGUGGCUCAACCAUACCACGCCAUUGAUACUGGAGGCCUUGAGUGCACAUAAGGNUGGUGGAAUUCAUGGUGUAGCGGUGAAAUGCUUAGAUAUCAUGAAGAACUCCGAUUGCGAAGGCAGCUGUCCGGGGUGUAACUGACGCUAAUGCUCGAAAGUGCGGGUAUCAAACAGGAUUAGAUACCCUGGUAGUCCGCACAGUAAACGAUGGAUACUCGCAGUUGGCGAUACAUUGUCAGCUGCCAAGCGAAACAUUAAGUAUCCCACCUGGGGAGUACGCCGGCAACGGUGAAACUCAAAGGAAUUGACGGGGGCCCGCACAAGCGGAGGAACAUGUGGUUUAAUUCGAUGAUACGCGAGGAACCUUACCCGGGCUUGAAUUGCUGGUGACAGGAUCAGAGAUGGUCUUUUCUUCGGACACCAGUGAAGGUGCUGCAUGGUUGUCGUCAGCUCGUGCCGUGAGGUGUCGGCUUAAGUGCCAUAACGAGCGCAACCCCUUUCGCCAGUUGCCAUCAGGUGAUGCUGGGCACUCUGGCGAUACUGCCAUCGCAAGAUGUGAGGAAGGUGGGGAUGACGUCAAAUCAGCACGGCCCUUACGUCCGGGGCUACACACGUGUUACAAUGGGGGGUACAGAAGGCCGCUACCCUGCGAGGGGAUGCCAAUCUCCAAAACCCUUCUCAGUUCGGACUGGAGUCUGCAACCCGACUCCACGAAGCUGGAUUCGCUAGUAAUCGCGCAUCAGCCAUGGCGCGGUGAAUACGUUCCCGGGCCUUGUACACACCGCCCGA
rnacentral:rRNA from 1 species